AUUUCCAAGCCACCACUACCACAGAAGCCUUCUUGGGUCAGAAGCACAGGAAUAGCCACAGGGGUGCCGCCUCCACCAAUGCAGCAGGAGCAGUCCUAAGAGCCACUGCUUUAGCUGUCACUGGAGCUGCCAACGCCAACUUUGAAGCCACAGCCAAUGCUGCCUCUGCCACCGCCGCUGUCUCCUCCGCUUGAGCUACAGCGGCUGUAGUUUCGCCGCCACCAAUGCCAACGCAACAGGAGCCAAUGGAGCCGCUGCAGAAGACGCCGCGGAUGCCAACGCCAACAACACGGGAGCCACCAGAGCCAACGCCCACGCCACAGGAACCGCCGGCAGAGGCAAUGCCACCGCAAACUCCAAGGCCGCAAAUGUUGCAGCUAACACAGCGGCUGCCAAUGGCAACCAAUGCUGUCGCUGCCAGAGCACAGGAACCUUUGGAGCCAGUGCAGCCACAAGAGCACGGAGCCGCCACCGCCACCUCAGCUGCUGGAGCACAGGAUCCCUGGUAGCCUCUUUGGGAGUGGGAGUGUAGGAGCACAGAGCGUCGCCUCAGCCCCCAGAGAUCAGGAACCGCUGGAGCCAAGGAUGCUCCAAGAGCACAGGAGCCACAGGUGCCAGAACAAGAGAGUGAAAGUGCAUGUAGUCGCCGCCUGCAGAACACCUUGAAAAAGGAGCUUUGCACCCCUUCAGCUGAACAUCAGGAAGAAGGAAACACCAGACAAGCUUGAGGGUCAGAGGACACUAGGCCUGCUCCAGUCACUCUGGAAGCUGACUAUCCUGCACACACCCACAGCAUGAGGAAACAUCAGCCCUGCUUCAGUGACUUGGGGGCUGGCUGAACAACACACAGUAAACGAUAAACCCAUCAACAGGAUAAAUGGACUGUUUCAUCCUCUAAGACAGCUCUUAUACUGUGAUGUAUUGCUACCCCUUACUUCUAUCAUAUAUAUAGUCAUUUCCUUGGGCUUUACUAAAGGAUUGAUAAAGUCAGAAACAUAGUUAACAAUAUCAGAAAGCUAGCACAUGUACCAGUUCAAACCUGAAAGGCAUUAAAGCUUGGCUUCCAAGCUCAGUAUUUGGAGGAUGGUUUUCUAUUCUUGGUGGAUUCAAAAACUCAUUUGACAUAGCAAGCAUUAUGCCCUUACCUUGUUUAUUGUUUCCAUGUGUGUCUCCCCUUUACAUUAAAACUCUAGAGUCUACUACAGAAGCAGCACUUUUAAAAAAGACAACUGAAAUCAUAAAGUUAAGCCAAGAAGAUAAUAAUUGUUUUUAAUCUAAAGGAUUGAAUAAUGAGCAUCAAAAGGGGUAAUGUUGUAGUCCCCCCCCAAAAAAAAAAACCACUUAAUUUUAACAUACAAUCCCCUCUCCUAGUCCACAAGAUCUUUUUUUAAAAUGUCAGCAGGAGUUCUGAAGAGCCCAUUGUGGUUUGAGCUCUUUGUUGUAGAGGCCAGGUUUCUCUUUCUUGUGAAAAUUAGGUCUGCAAUCAACUUGUUGAUGUGCAAGUUAAUGUUUUCUUAAAAAACUUGUGAAAUCUCUGUCCAGCCUAAGAAAUGGAACAAAAAGUAUCUGUUAUGUUAACCACCCUGUUUUGUUAACUACCCACUGAGUAUAAAUCUCAAAGAAUGUCCAUACUCUGGAUCCAGAAAUUCUACAUUAGCCCCUCUGGACCUUAAAUAAACCUGCUUAAAUAAACCUGCUUCCUGAAAAUUUCUCAGGUGUUCAGACUCAUCUGUCAUAUACCAAAGCCUGCUUGAAAUGCUAGAAUGUCCCCAUUCUUGAAGGGCACACAGAGACAGUUUCUCUAAAUCUGCCAUAAUAUGAAUUCUAUGCAAAGUCAUUAAUCACAAAAAACUAAAGGGAGAUGACACUAUAGUGACCUGCUGGAUGUAAAGUCAAUGUUGUAUGAUAAAACUCACAUUGUAUACAUAUAUUAAAUUAUUGUGAUAUACCCCAUAAAGAUAUGUAAAUGAUACAUCUGAAUUUUUUUUAAUCUGUGGGAAAAUUUGAUUUGUUUGAAAUCCGAAUGCCAGGUUUUCAUUUUAUGUUGUUUCUAAUAUGCUGUAAUGAUAUUUAAUGAUAUCAUUACAUUUUUAGAUCCAAAAGACAUCAGCAUUUUAUAUUGUAAAGAGGAUUUUGUUAGUAAAAGGGGUAUGUUAGAGAUUAGAAUGUAUGCUUUGCCACUUUAAAAGUUAACAUGUUAAAUUAAAUACUUGAAUCUA